AGCAAACAGGAUUAGAUACCUGGUAGUCACGCUGUAAACGAUGUCGAUUUGGAGGUUGUUCCCUUGAGGAGUGGCUUCCGGAGCUAACGCGUUAAAUCGACCGCUGGGGAGUACGGCCGCAAGGUUAAAACUCAAAUGAAUUGACGGGGGCCCGCACAAGCGGUGGAGCAUGUGGUUUAAUUCGAUGCAACGCGAAGAACCUUACCUACUCUUGACAUCCAGAGAAUUUAGCAGAGAUGCUUUAGUGCCUUCGGGAACUCUGAGACAGGUGCUGCAUGGCUGUCGUCAGCUCGUGUUGUGAAAUGUUGGGUUAAGUCCCGCAACGAGCGCAGCCCUUAUCCUUUGUUGCCAGCACAUUAUGGUGGGAACUCAAAGGAGACUGCCGGUGAUAAACCGGAGGAAGGUGGGGAUGACGUCAAGUCAUCAUGGCCCUUACGGGUAGGGCUACACACGUGCUACAAUGGCGUAUACAAAGAGAAGCGACCUCGCGAGAGCAAGCGGAACUCAUAAAGUACGUCGUAGUCCGGAUUGGAGUCUGCAACUCGACUCCAUGAAGUCGGAAUCGCUAGUAAUCGUAGAUCAGAAUGCUACGGUGAAUACGUUCCCGGGCCUUGUACACACCGCCCGUCACACCAUGGGAGUGGGUUGCAAAAGAAGUAGGUAGCUUAACCUUCGGGAGGGCGCUUACCACUUUGUGAUUCAUGACUGGGGUGAAGUCGUAACAAGGUAAC
rnacentral:rRNA from 1 species